GUCCACGCUGUAAACGAUGAGCACUAGGUGUCGUGGGUAUUGACCCCCGCGGUGCCGACGCUAACGCAUUAAGUGCUCCGCCUGGGGACUACGGCCGCAAGGUUAAAACUCAAAGGAAUUGACGGGGCCCGCACAAGCGGUGGAGCAUGUGGUUCAAUUCGACGCAACGCGAAGAACCUUACCUGGGCUAGACAACGGAGGACCGCUCCAGAGAUGGGGCUUUCCCUUCGGGGACCUCCGGUUCAGGUGCUGCAUGGCUGUCGU
rnacentral:rRNA from 1 species